CCACUGAGUGCCUGGAUUUGUCAGGAUCUUUCAAAGGUCUCUGGAUCUCAGUAAACUUUAAGUUCUUAUUUUUCUAUUGCAAAAAGGUUGGCAUGGGAUUUGUGGGUGGUUGUGAGCUGCUCAGGAGAAGCAAUCUCUCUCACUCUCAUCAAAAAGCGUUGCAAUUAUAAACCAAGGUAGGCAGUGUGGGAUCCAGGCAUGAACAAUAAUUUUGUUCCAACUUCUUUCAUCCAGAAUUUUCCUGCUGGGUUACAGAAUGUUGUUGGAGAGGAGGGUGUAGUGGUAGAAGACUAGUUGUAGCAGCAGUUGUAGAGUAGUAUUCACCCAAAGGCUUUGAAGGGGAGUAGAGGUUUGAUGUGGGUCCCAUUCCAUUCCAUUCGACUCUAGUGGCUUUUUCCCCGUCUGCUAUUUUUUUUCCUUUCUUAUGGAGGGCUUUCAACUUGUUCUGACAGCCUUCAAUUAUGCAGGGCCCACAAUGAGUGAGAAGCUCGUACCGCAUGACUUUGAUGGCAGUGCCCAAGCCCAAGUCCGAGCCUUACAUUUCCCUGCCUCCGUGCCCUGCAUAAUUGAAUGUGGGGUUUGGACAGGCCUGUAAACUAUCUCGCAGUCACUGCCCCUACACUAACCCUCUUUCGUAUGUUUGUUUUUAAAACAAGAAAAAAACUAACUAAAGCAUUAAAAUAAAACUAGUACCCAUUUAGUUUCGAAGUCUAGUAUAAAGCUGCGGUUCUCAAAAUGACCAACACAACUAAUUAUGUGACGCGUUAUAAUCGUGCACAUCAUCGUUACUUGUGAAUGUGAGAAUGAUGUCUAUUAACGUAACAACACAGAGACGUUGAUGCAUCGAUAGAAUGAACAUGAAAUGCCCGACUUUACUUGAGAAAAAGCGCUAAACUGCUAGCGGAAGCAAGAUUGUGAUGAAGUGACAAUGUGUGUGAGUGUGUUGGCUAGGCUCACUGCAAAGUGCUUUUGUUGGAAAGCGUAGGUCGUCUUCUCCCUCCACAACAUUCGCAGCUAGGUUAAAGAGGCGAGUCUAUGAAUGUGGAAUAUUCUACCACGAACAACAUGUUUGUGACAGCAAUCUCUCGCCGGAAAUUGCCAAGGCGUCCACAUCGACGGUAAGCUCCGAUGUACCGGCCGAAUAGUUACCCCUCAUGGCUGAGUUCUGGCAGCUUCUACAUUCAAGAUCUUAGACUUACAUCCCGAUGGAUGCAGCUUUCGAGGAGCUUGGCUUUUCUUCAAAACCCACCUCUUCUCACAGUUUCUCACAGUUUCUCACAGUUUCCUAUGAUGACUAUAGUCGCAACAAACAACCCAUAAUGCGAUUUCUACACUAGUCGGGAGGAUUAAUGUCUCACUCAACGGAAGAGGCCCUCCAGAUAAAAAAGACUUCAGAUAAAAUAUGUGACAAUAGAAGUCUUUCGGUGUCGUUGGACGAACAACCGUCUUAUUCGUUCGUUGUAUUGAGAGAAAUUGUAUGACGGAUAGGAACGUUCUAAGUAUAUUUGUGUGCGAAGGCAGGGAAUCUUCGCUGAUAAUGGUUUCGUUCAACGGAAACUGGGAUUUAGGAGCACAGACCGUCUCGGUUCGUCGAAUUUCGAGGAAUUGUGGAUUCUGCAUGACGCGUUGAGGGAAGUGAUUCUGAGUUGUAGUUCAUAGACUUUACGGCACCGAUCGAGCUCAUGAAAUUGAGCUCCGACGGUUUUUACAUAUUUCACGAGUUAGAAGAAGGCUUGGUCACGAGGAGGUACCGAUUGCAAUGGUUGAGAGCUCUUGAUGUUCUAUCGAAUUACGAUUUUUGGUACACGCCUGAGUACUAAAAACAAGUAUUCUGGAUGAUGGAGGGACAGGCGCGCGGAUAGCGUACUGCCAUUGUCAGGUCUCUGGAGAAUCUGCACCUUCCUGUUCUUGAAAUGAUCGCGAAUACAAAAUCUCAGCUGCCAGACGUUGAAAGUUGGAUGCGAGUGGAGGUCAAACACUCUGCGCGCAAGGCGACUGCACAUUAGAGAACAAUGCUCAUGAACACCAUGUGUUCAUAGAGACUUAAUCUGACAAGGUUGGGAUCAGCGUUAUCUGCGGGGAAAGGGGACCAAUCUAGGUGUUAAUUAUAUGCAGUUCUAGUCUCGUUCUUGCAUUGUCAUUGAAUCCCUCUAGCGAAACCACGCAUUUUUUGAGGAAGAGUUUCUACUUGCGACACUCAAGGUGCUCAACGCUAUUUAAUGCUCUCCAUUUAUAUUAACAACUAGAAGAUCGAUGAGUGCCAAUUUGUACACCUGGCCAGAUUGCUGAGCAAAUGCUAUCAAAAGAUCUACACAGCUGCAGGCAUCUCUGAGUUUCAUUUCAACACAGCUUCUUCAGAUUACCACGAGAGAUCAAACUCGAAAGGCCUACAUGCUCGAACUGGCACAUCCAUUGCCAUCUUUGCAGAAGCCCUCCUCACAGUAAGGCUCUGCAAUCUUCGCCGUUUCCUGAGCACCUGUUCAAGAAAUGCAUGUGUUUCUGCAAAGAUCGGGAACAAAUAUGCAAUCAAAAACCCGAAAGAGAUCGUCGUCAUUACUUGGUUACAAAUCCAGACACAGAGUUGAGGCAAAAGUGCACACACAGUUGAUGCACGGUUUGAUCCGAAAGUCUCUUUACUCCAUGAACUAUUUCACAUCCAUACUCAUGACGAUCAAUUGACGUUCACCAUGUGCCGAGACCUGAUUGUGGACCAAACUGCAAGUCUUUUACCUACGACAACCCUUCGAUAAUCUCCACUUUGUUUGCAGGUAACCAUACAAGUCCAGAAGUCUGUGUAGGAUUGUCAGUUACCGAACAAACGCAAAAGACGGUGCUGUAGUUGCACAGGGAAUGCGAUCAACCUGUUGUGGUGCUUUUCAAGUUGAAAAUCGAUGCAUGUUCGGAGACCAAGGUCUGUCUUCGAACAAUGUGUGGGAAUAGAGAAAUACUUCUCAGUCGUAGGUAAGCAUGCUAUUCGUGCUCUUUACAAACAGCAUAUUAUGUUGGAGAGAUUAGAAAACAGUAUGGUCCUUUGAAUAUCUUCAUUAGUGGGUUUUAUAAGAGGGUUUCAAACAUGGCCUUUUCAGGUGAUAUUUUACCCUUGAUGCAAGUUCAGAGUAUCCAGUGAUAUUUUGAAAUAUUACUUGAUAUUUCACCAAAUCACUUGAUAUUUCAUCAAAUCACCCACCUUGCAAGGCGGGUGAUUUCGAAAUCAAAACAUCAAAAGAUAGGGGGGUCAAAUAUCAAAAACCGCAUCAAUCACCUCAACUCUUUGACUCCAUACUAGGGAGCAAUAAAGUUUGAAUCAGGGAGUUAAUAAAGUUUGAAUAGUGAUGUUUUGGAUUUGAUAUUUCUAGUGGUCCUAGAAAUAUCAAAUAUUGUAUCCCAAUUGUUUGGUUUUGCAAAGUGCCAUGCUUGAAACCCUCUAUUAAUUCCCAUAACAACUCAAAAUACAUUUAUAGUAUAUGUGUUGCAAAAUUGCAAGGUAGGUCUUGCCAAGUAGCUAUGGAGGGUUGAUAUUAUGUAAGUAACUUAGAUUUAUGUACCAAUAGAACAAGAUCUGUGGCAUUUGUUUGUGUUAGGCUUUUAAUUACAAUAAACCCUUUGCAUAACUCAAUUAGAUUAUUUAAAUGAUUCAGGAAUUGCAUCCAUUUUAAAGUUAAUUAAGCAAUUCUUAACCUUUACUUCUUCAUGUUUAAGCAACCAAACAAAGUAUGUGGUAUGUUUAAUGUUAAUUUGAUAUGAAUGUUUAUAAAAUUGUGGAUUCUUUAUAGUAAGGACUUCAUUUAAUAUUGUGUAUUUUUUGUGAUAUACAAGUAUAACACAUAUUUAUUCGUUAAUACACAUCCCUGAAUGAUAACUUGCACAUUAGUAUUCAACAAGGAUUUUUUUUAUAUAAUUAACACAUCAAUUAAUAUAAAUUUAAUAACAUAUUUUGCUAAUUAACAUGUGCAAAUCAAAUAACUUGAAACAUUAAAUUUCAAAGAAGAGAUGUUAAAAAAAUUAUAAUUAUUUUUUAUUCUGAAAUAAUAUUACUAUUGUGAUUUUAAAAAAAAUCGUCAUAUGAAUUUGAAUUGAUUUUUUUUUAUUUUUAAAAAUUACAUUCUUUGGAACAAUAAAUAUGAGUUUGAAUAUUUUUAAUUUGAAUUAUGGCCAUAUCAAAGCUUCCAAUGCAAUGCAACAAUCGACAUAAUAGUAUUAAUUUAAAUUACAAAAUAAAUAUAAAAAUACUAAUGAAUUAAUAUAAAAAUAUAGAUAGUCAAAUCAGUCAUAAUAUUAAUAUAUAUAUAUAUAUAUAUAUACACACACACACACACACACACAUAUAUAUAUAUAUAUAUAUAUAUAUACUUACAUACAUACAUACAUACAUGUUUAUACAUCUAUUUAGUACAAAAAGGUGUAAAUUAUAUCAGAAAUAAUCAUCUCUUAUAUGAUUUAUUUUUGCAAUCUAUAAAAUAUAUAUUUUUUGAUUUUUUUGAUAAACUAUGUAUAUAUAUAUAUAUAUAUAUAUAUAUAUAUACAUAUAUAUAAACUAAAUUUACAAGAUUAAAGAAGAAAUUAAUUUCUAUUAUUGUGAUAAAUAUUCGAAUUAAAAAUAGAAAGUGAUAUAAUCAUAGGUUACUAUAAGAAAGUUUUGAAAAUAAACUUGUUUUGAUAAAAUAUUUUCUAACAAUUAUUUCCUGAUUUUAUAUAAUAUUUUACUGUGGUAUAUUUAUAAAAAAAAACUAUAAGUUAAAAAUACAAUACAAAAGUGAGAAUAUUUAACUUAGGACAACAUUUACUUGGUCAUUUUUACUUAGAGACUAAGAAAAAAUGAAACUCCACUUUUAAAGAAUUAUUAUUAUUAUUAUUAUUAUAUAAUUUUAUUUUUUACUAAAUUUAAAAGAUUUAUAUUGAUAGAUAUACUUUUAAUAAAAUCUAAGGAAAAAAAUCUAAGGUAUUAAUAAUACCUUAUGGAAUUUACAAAAAUGACUUGCCCAUGUAUUUAUAAUUCUUAAUAUUUUGUGUACAAUUUUGUGUACACAAUACAUAUAUUUCUUUUUCUCUCUCUUUCUUCUUUACGUCUAAAUUUUAAAUUAUAUAAAAUAUUUGUUUAUUAAUAAAUUUCAUGGUGAGUUUAAAAUUCUCCAAAAGUCUUAAUUUUGCUAUGUUUUAGAAUAAAUAUUUUAGAAAGAUUAUAUGCUUUUGCACAUAAUUUAAAACAUAGCAAAAGCACAUAAUCUUUCACAAUGAAACAAUUUGUCCUAAUGACUUUCACCUUGUGUUUAAACACCAGAGAAGUUUCUUCUGCUUGCUUUUGCUUGCUCGCUCGCUGCUUCUCCUGUUGUGUGUGUGUGUGUGUGUGUGUGUUGAGAUUACUUGCAUGUGUUGUUGUUUUGUAUGGAUUAUUUGCAUGUGUUGUUGUUGUUUUGUAUGGAUUAUUUGCAUGUGUUGUUGUUGUUGUUGUGUGUUGAGAUUACAAGCAUGUGUCAUUGUUGUUGAUGCGUAAGUGUUAGCGUUACUUGCAUGCGCUUACAAAAGCCUUGAGCAAGCUUUUCUCAUGCUGAGGUUGGACUGUGCAGCGCUAAACACCUUCGUUGUUUCUGUUCACUGGGUUGUGGGAUGGUGUGCUGCUAUUUGACAAGUGCAAGCUCAGCUGGGUUCCCUUUCUGGUGCUGUAGACGCAUUCUGAAGGCCCACACAAUGUUUUCGCGCACAUUUCAAGUUGUGGGGGGCUAUGGUUUUUCUAGGGUUUUGGAAUGUCUAUUCUAACAAUGGCGCAUUCGGAGUCCAGUAUUCGCAUCCAAUAGAUCCGAUUCUUUCUCCUGGUGCAAGAGCCUUCAUUUGCUGGAGUUGUCUGAGGUUUGAGCAACGUCAUACUGGCAUUCUUCUGUUGUCCUUUGCUGCUUCUUUAUUUUGAUUUUGAUGUUUGCAACUUGGUUUUGGUUUUGCAAUUUUUGAAACAGUUGGGGCUUAAAACAUGUUAAGGUCAAUCCGUUCGUGGAAAACUCUGUUCGAUUUAUUGUAUCACAAUCAUUCCCUCAUGUGUCAUUGUUCUUGAGAAUUUUACUAAAUCCCAUAAGAGAGGCUAAAGGAAAUACUCACGAGCACUCUAUAUUAGCAUGAAGUUUGUGAUUUUGCAUAUUACAUUGUGCCAAUGUUUUUUUUUGCGUUUGACGCGAAAAUUCUCGGUGAAUUUUCUAGUAUGGUGGAUGUUGCUGAUUGUUUGCUGUUCAUCUCAUUACGGGUGAGAUAAUGUAUGUAUAUUUUUCUAAUUUUAUUUUCUGGCAUCCAGUGGUCAAUGCUCGUUGUGAUGUACUAAACAAAAAAAAAUUAAAUGGAGGAUUCCAUGCGAAGGAGCACUAGGGUUUAUCCUGGACGUCGCAAAAUCCAACCUGUUGCGUUGAUGAAACGACCAAGUCGGUGCUUAUCUCCUGCUCUUUAGUCAUCAAUAGUAUCAGUGUUUAUAAGUUAACGUCGAGUUUUCUUUGCUCAAAUCUGUUCCUGAUGGAGGACCCAAAACCAGAAAGCAUUGAACCUUGGAUCCUACAAAGCAUUCUAACUUCUUAAAUAAUCAAAGCUUCAAGGACAUUCAAGGAUUAUGAGAGUAGGUCUAUAAUUCAACAAUGAUAUGGAUUUCUUAAGCUGCGUUUUCAAGCAAAGCUAGAACUUCUGCCUGAAGCUUCACUGGAAACUUGUUUCACGACACUUUUCUUCGUAUCGAGAGACAUGCAUUGAGUUUAAAACUCUCAGCCCAAAACGAUACAUAUCCCUGGUAUGCAAAAAAAUUCAAGGAAAUACACAUUUUUAACUAAACAAAGUUGCUCCAAGUAAGGUCUUCUUGAGGCUGAGUUAAAGUUCAGCAAAGAGGGGCCGUUCUGGUGACAUACAUAUUGCCAUCUCCUUUACAAACGUCGUAGUGUAGAAGCACGACUACCUGUAUGAUAAAUUCUGUUUAUAUUCGCCAAAGAAAACCCAGUUUUCACAUUCUACCAACCGCCCAUCAGAUAUUCUCUCUGUAGGAAGCUUUGCACCCUACAUCUUCAUGACGGCAUACGAUCGAUUCACGCUAGCUUGCGAACUCCUUCAACCCUUCAAUCAACAAACACCCCACAUUGUACGAACCUCCUGUAAUUACUAUAACAAACACGUUACUAAGGAAAUUUCUACACAUGCAUCAAGAGCACAGCGGCAGCAGCGAUGGGAGGCAAAGUCCAUUAGAAGCCACUUCAUCGAGAUAGCACUUCAUGACGCUUGUUCAUCGUGUGCAGAGGGAGAUCUACAACUGGGUCCUGGCGGUUGCGCAACGAGGAUAAAAUGUAUGAAUCGCGCUACAAGGGCCAGAUAAACAUGCGUCGCAAAACCAAACUCCUCCAGUUCGGCCUAGGUGGAGCAGCACCCAUCGAUAUAUCAUUCAUCUAUUUUCCAGGCUUUAACAUCCACAACUGCACCACAUGUACCAGCGUUUUCAUUCAUUCACUGCCUGUUUUCUUCCGCUGUAGCAACGUGAGACUUGACCCUACUGCCGAGUCUGCUGCGUUCAGGGAGGCCUGGUUUCCUCAACCCUCUGGAAGCUCACACUUGGAGUUUUGCUUUGGAGCUCUCUCGGUGGUGGUGCGUCUUUCUUCGGUCCCCUUUGGUCCUCGUGCUUGCGGAUGUAGCUGCAGGCCGCUCGCGAAGGGGGUCGUCGCCGUUACUGCCGCUGCUCGCCAUGGCUCGAGCCAUGGCUCUGUCUCUCCUGCUUCUCGUCGCCUGCUUCAACCUCGCUUCUGCUGCCGACAGUCUCACUGUUGUCCGAGCUGAUCGUAAGGUGCGCUUCGUUUGGUACUAGUCCCUCAAUGUGGGGAUGUUUUACUCUCUGAGUAUGGAUCUGGGGAUUUUUAGGGGUGUUGGUUGGAGAGAUCGGGUGUCUUUGGUGGUGGUAGAGGGAGCUCGUGUUGUGUCGUCGCUGACGAUCUUUAGGGCGAUUUAGGGUUGUGGUAUUGUAUUCGGAUUUUGUUUUAGGGUUUUUUGGGGGUAUGUUUGCAGCACCAGCGGGUUUAGUGAUCGGUGAACUAUUUUUUUGUCUCAAUGUUGAGUUGUAACCAUCGAUUGGUAUUGACGUGGGUGAGUGUAUUGGUGGGGGUGAUAUUUUGUGUUGGGGUUUGCAGGUUGAUCUGUUGACGCAGGUUGUUAGAGUCUCUACUGCAUGGAAGGUGCAGAACAAUGGAGCAGAGCCGGUGAGAGAAGUGAAGUUGGCAUUGACUUCAGAGCAGGCGGAGAGAGUGGCGUUUAUGGAGGUUGUUAUCAAGGAAACAAAGGGUAAAGGAAAGAAUGCCGCUGUUGGUCUUUUAUUACCGGUGAUUCGUUACUCUCAAGAAGGUUCCGUGAUUGUCUACACCCUUGCUUUGCCUAGGGAAAUCAAGGAAGGAGAAAUUGCGACUUUCGAGAGCUACGUGGCUCUCACACACCAAUUGAAGCCUUUCCCUGAAGAGAUUACACAGUCCGACUCUCAGCUUGUGAAGUAUCAUGAUACGGCAUACAUCCUGUCACCGUACCCUGUCAAGGUGCAAACAACCAUGUUUAAACUUUCUAGUUCCAGACUCGAGUCCUUUACUAAGGUGAAUCCAACUAAAGUAGCCGACACAGAGGUUCGUUAUGGACCAUACGAGGACGUAGAAGCUUUGGAAAGGAAGCCGAUCACCCUUCAUUUUGAGAAUAACCAGCCUUUUGCAGUGGUGGAGGAGCUGGUGAGGGAAAUUGAAAUCUCACAUUGGGGUAAUGUUUACAUCACGGAGAAUUACAACAAGCUUGCUCACCAGGGAGCUCGUCUUAAAGGUGGCUUCUCCAGGUUCGAGUAUCAGGCGAGACCUGGUGCGAGUGGGGUAUCAGCCUUCCGGCACCUACUUGCUAAGCUUCCUGUGCACGCCAAUUCUGUGUACUAUCGGGAUGAGAUUGGCAACAUUUCGACGUCUCAUUUGAGAUCUGACUUUCGAAGGACGGAGCUGGAGCUCGAACCUCGAUAUCCUCUUUUCGGUGGCUGGAAAGUCCCCUUCACACUGGGAUACAGCGUUCCUCUCCAAGAUUUGGUGUUCAAGGCUGCUGAUGGUUCUCGGUACCUUAACAUCAGCUUUGGCAGCCCAUUUGGCAACAUUGUGGUAGACAAGCUGAUUCUCAAGGUUGUACUCCCGGAAGGAUCGUAUGACGUUUCUGCAACCGUUCCUUUCCCAGAAGGAUCGUUUGAGCAGAGGCAAGAGAAGAAGUUCUCGUACUUGGACACGGUCGGAAGGACAGUCCAUGUGAUCGUGAAGAAAAACUCUGUUAUGGAGCAUCAAUUCAAGAAUGUUCUGGUUCAUUAUAGGUUUAAUCCAUUGGGCAUGCUGGUCGAGCCUCUGAUGCUGGUGCUGGCUUUCUUUGCGUUUUUUGCCUCCUGCAUUGCUUACACCCACUUUGACUUCACCUUGUCCAAGUCAACUUCGGCGUAUUUAGCCCAGGUACAGCGCGACCAGGUUAUCGAUGUAAUUUCAAAGCUGCAGAAGGUGUUGGGGAUUCGCCAGACAGCAGAAGAGCGCCUGGAGGCAUCGUUGAAGGACGUUCUACGCACAGGGGACAUUACUGCUUGUAAAGCUGACCGUAAGAACGCAGAUGCGGUCUGGAAGAGUACGUCCAAAGAUCUUAAGGCACUCUUGGAUACCCUCCAGUCAACCAUGAAGACUGUACCUGGCAAGCCUUCCACGACGAAACCUUCCGUUAUUGUGACUAAGGUGGAAACCUUGUUGCUGAAAGAGAAGGAGAUGGUUGAGAAGUUGCAGCAGAAGCAAACGUUUAUUGUGGAUGCUUACGAGCGGAAAUUGAGUGGUAAAGAAAUCGAUGCCCGCAUCGCUCCUGUCCAGGAAAAGUUGGAAAGCCUGAGGCAGGAAGUGUCUAAUCUGCGCUCUUCAUUAGAGGACUAGCGUGAUAGAUCUUUGCGUAGCAGAGGGACCCCUUUUGAUGAUGUUGGAAAACAGGAGGUCAAGAGUGGCUGUAGCACUUUCCGGGACUGAAAAAAAAAAAGCUUCUUGAGCUACCCUGUUGAACGAGGUUUAGUUAGCAAGGACCGAUUAGGUUAAGACAUCAAAUAGUAAAGUCGAGCAGUGCCACUGAAAUACACUGAAAUAUGGAGUCUUGUAACUCAGCUCUCUGUUCCUGGCUCUUACUUAUAAAAUAUGUAAAUGCUGGCUUUUGCUGCUCCUUCUUGGAUGACUAAAUGUGGAAUGCUUUACACCCAAUGUUCGAACAACUACAGUACACCCUUGGAAUAUGGAACUCUUUUGAUAAAUGUACUGGUUUCACUGUUUUGACAUUUAGUUUUACUUUCAUCGAACUUGUUGCGAAGUUGGUGCCGCGCCAUCAGUGUAUCUGCGGACUAUCGUCUUGGGAACGAAGUGCUCUGGUAACUUGAAAUUGCCCCAAGCAGUUGCAGGUAUCAUCACCUUCACACAGACGAGCAUAAAACUUAAAAAGUUAGGCGAAGUAGUUGCGACAUCCCGUUUUAGCUUCCCUGCCAGGAUAGAUUUCAGGUCUGAACGUCACCAUCAAAUCUGGCAGGGUGGGAUUAUUGAUUGUCUCAAGGCCAGCAGUUACAAUCAUCUCCGCAUGUCUAAUGAUCAGAAGUCUUUCCUUUCUCACUGCGUACUUUUCAGUCAUUCAUUGUUACUACAAAUCCUUCGUCACUAGUACAUACAGCCACCAAGAUCUGGCCCUGAAUGUAACAUUUAAAUCUGGGCAUGCUGCGCAUGAGUUCAAUUUAAUCUCUCCCCUCUGCUUCAGUAGGUGACAUGCAGGACUCUAACCAACACUCGCGAUAUUACUUAGACAGACAGAAUAUAUAUAGAUAAAAGUAAAUAAUUGAAAAAAAAGUAUACUUUUUUAUUUAGCGUUGACAAAAAAAAAGUUACUAACAUGUAAUCAUGAUGAUAUUUCUUAAUAUUUAUUAAAUAUAUUAAAAAUUUAUACAAAUUUUAUUUUUUAAAAAAUUAUAUUAUAUAUAUAAAUAAUAAAAUUAUAUAUUUAUUACUUGUAUAUCCGCGUUCUUCCUCAUCUGCGAAUACAAUUCCAGAUUCAAGUGUGAAUACUCUAGGUACGCUGUUGAAUGACAUGCGUCAUCUACUGAAUCUGCGUUUCGCUCCUUUGAGCAGCUGUGUCUGAUGGUCUUGCUUGCAAAUUUCGCGGGCGAGAUUGACGAGCUUAAAUAUUCUUUCACAUCCUUUUCAUGGGUUUUCGGAAGCAGAAUCGAUUUUCAAGGACACGAAUUGGCUAUUCAUUCGGUGUGAAUAAUUUUCUGCAGCUGCCAGGUGAUCUCUACCUCUAUCUGCAUACUAUUAUUGAAGAGGUGUGUCAUUACCAUCCUCUCUACAUUCUUUGCCAACUAGUGUUCAAUGGUGAUGGUUAUGCUCAGAAUGGAUGACAUUCAUGAUUGGAUAACAUUUGGGUAACAAUAAGGUUACCAAUUCUAUCAAAUUCAGAUCACUGAAGAAACCAAUCAUUCAUGAUUCAAAAAAAGGACGAAUGGAAUCUGCAGUCAGGAUUCUAUCACAGCUUUACUUAAAGACCUAAUUUGCAACAUUCGAUCCCUAACUUCAACUCUCGGCAAUAAAAUGGAAACAUUUCUAGAUACAUGUGAAGCAAAUACCGCAUUGUGAUAAUCCAAUGGUACCGUUCAACCAUUCAUCAGUAGAGAAGAUCUCAGCGAUUAACAUGAUUGCUUCCAAAACCUUAAACACCCACAAAUACACACACAAACACACAAAUACAGCACAACUUCGGAGUAGAGGGUUCCAAAAAACAAAACCAAUCAUAUAUUCAAUUUAGCAUCCAGCACCACAAUGCAGGGUGUGGUUUGUUUUCUUUUUUCUUCCCGUUCUCAAAAGGAAGUAGAUCUCCUGACAAGCAUUAAUUUACAUGAAAGGGACGGUUGCUCAUCCUGGUUUCGUGAUCUACAGUGGGGGUGCCAUGAGGGCUAUGAAUUCUCCGGGUGCUUGGUUUUUCCAAGCAUUACACGCUGAGCUUCGGUCGAAUGUCUGGUCCAGCGAAGGGCUUCGUGAACUCAUCAGCACACGCCAUGCGGAUCCGCUCGGGCGUGGCCGGUGUGUCCAGCACAAACCAUCCAUUGUGCCCACUGUCUUUCCUUGCUGCCUUGAUAGCGUCCUUGAUAGCAAACAGGGCAGACGUUGCUAGGAAUAGAGGUGGCUCGCCUACAGCCUUGGAAGAAUGAAUCGCCUUAGAAUUCGGCGCAUCCUAAACAGAUUUGUACAGCAGGAAAAAGAAUUCAGUACCCUUUUCUAUCCAGAAUCCCCAGAUCCUAAAAUUGGCUUACGAACGCAAAUUAGACUUUAAAAAAAAUCUGAAAAAGUGUGAUCUUUUACCUUCAAGAGGGAAACCCUGAAGUCGAUAGGAAUGUCGUUCACGGUAGGCAGUUUAUAUGUGCCAGGACCUUGCGUGAAGAGAUGACCUGGUCUAACCCAAGGAUGAGCAGAGUCACCCCAUUUGAGCUCCUCCAAGAUUGCCCACCCGAGGCCUUGCACAUAACCCCCUUCCACUUGGCCGAUGUCGAUUGCGGGAUUUAGAGAAUGUCCCAAGUCCAUGACGAUAUCUACUCGUGGCAAGUGGAAAUCUCCUGUUAGGGUAUCGAUUUCAGCCACAGCGAAAGCUGCUCCAAAUGUGAAAUAGCUGAAGGGCCUUCCCUUGCCGGUGUCCCAGUCCAUACCAAUGUCGGGUGUGAUGUAGAAUCCGUGUGCUGAUAGAUCGAUCCGCUCCAAAUAGCACGCUGUCACCAACUGCAAGACGGACAUAAUUCAAACACGACGAUCAAUUGCAUUAUUUUUUUGCAUUCAAACUGAACCCACUGAUUUAUAAUGAUUAAAGUUCAUAAUGUCCCGAGAAGGAAAAUAGAGCUGCGAAACCAUACCUCGGCAAACGAGGAAUAGUUGUUCUUAGAACUCAGCUCGCUCAUACGGGCCGUGAUCUGCUUGCAAGCAUCAAGCACAGCUCCUCCAUACAUGUCCGCACUUGCGGAAGCAGCAGUAGGGGAGGAAUUCGGAACCUUAUCUGUGGCAGUUUCGGAUACAAAUACAUCCUUCAGAGGGAUACCAAACUCAGACGCUGCAAUUUGAGCCAUCUUUGUGUGAAGUCCCUGGCCCAUUUCCACACCUCCGUGUGUGACCAGCACCGUUCCGUCAGUGUAAACUUGCACAAGAGCUCCAGCCUACAUCCAGAAUAUCACAGAGUUAAGGAAUGCGAUGUGAGAGAAUUGAUCGACAAGAAGUUUCAAGGUUGGCUGAAGAGGAUCAUUAAGGAGUUACCUGAUUGAGGAACUUCGUCGUGAAUGAAAUACCGAACUUCGUAGGCACCAUGGCCAAGCCCCGCUUCUUCCAGCGAUGUUGCGCGUUGAAACUUUCUACUUCUGCUAGUCGCUUCUCAAACUCGCAAGAUUUCUUCAACUCCGCCCACGCAUGCCGAUGCCGUGAGGCUUCCAGUAUUUGCCCAUAGUGCAACUCAUCCCCAUCUUGUUGAAAAUUGAGUUCCCGUAUUUCUUCAGGACGCCGUCCCACUUCACUGGCAAUUCGUUCGAUCCAAUUCUCAACAAUGAGCAUGCCUUGUGGACCUCCAAAGCCUCGAAACGCGGUGUUGCUGGAUUGGUUGGUGAAGCAAACCCUCCCUCGCACUCGCAUGUCCUUGAUGCUGUACACAUUGUCGGAGUGGAACAUCGCCCUCUCCAGAACCGAACCUGAAAGAUCCAAAGAAUUACCGCCAUUGUUGUAUAUGUCGACAUCAAGAGCCAAAAUCUUGCCCUCCUUCGUGAACACAACCUGCAUUUGCAACAUCGAGAACAAAACACAUCAGCACCUAAUCCACCACGGCCAAACCUUGCUAAAUUGAAGAAGCCACCUAACACAAAAUUGUAUACCACAGAAUGAACCGUGGAUACAGUAUCUCUAACCUUGUAUUUUCCCAUAAAAGCAUGCCGUUGGCCAGUAAUCGCCAUGUCCGUGUCUCUGUCGAGAGUGAUCCUCACUGGUCUUUGCAACAAGUAGGCUGGAACUGAAGCAGCCGCAGCUAUGAAGGCAGACCGUGUCUCCUUGCCUCCAAAUCCACCGCCUAUGCGCUUCAACUUACACACCACCUUGUGCUGAGGAAUGCCGAGAACGUGAGCGACAUAUCUCUGAUGUUUCUGAGGGGCUUGGGUUGAGGAAAGUAGGUGAACUUCAUUGCCAGCAUCGGUUGUCCAAACAAGAGUGCUGUUAGGCUCCAAGUAGAAAUGCUCUUGACCUCCCAUGCGCACUUCGCCUUCGACUGCAAGAACAUCAUCAGAGCCUCUUGCAUUUUCAAAGAACGCAUCGACAUUUCCCAUUUCUAGAACACGCUCUGAUCCAGGAUGGAACUUCUGAGCAGCCACAGCAGCAUCCAAAUCCAACAGAGUUGGCAGGUCUUCGUAAACAAUCUUGAUUUUCCGAGCUGCGUCUUUUGCGUUUUCGUGAGUGUCCGCAACGACUAUGCCUAUCACCUGGCCCACACAAGUCACAGUCGUCGUCGCAAACAGCUCUUCGUCAUGAACUAUGGCGCCAAUGUCAUUAGCCCCAGGUAGGUCUUUGGCUGAGAAAAAACCUUCAAACCCUGCUUGGUUCUCCGCCUCGGAGGCAUCAAUUGAUACGAUCCGUGCGUGAGGGCGGGUGCUCAAGACUAACGCAGCGUGCAGGCCGUUUGGUGGCAUGGCUAUGUCAUCGACAUAUUCCGCCUCCCCUGUCACCUGAAUCACAAACAUUUACCAUCAAUUCUACUCUAACAUUUCUAGGUGCAACUCCUAAAAUAAGAAACGAAGACGCUUAAAAGAUAGAGCCAAAACCCGAAACAUCGAAACUUACCUGGAGGUUUGCAGACUGGUGCUGGAAAGGCAAGCCCACUGCAGUUCCAUUUGGUAAAGUCUGGAAAACUUGAAUGCCAUGGGAAGGCUCCCGUUCAUACGGAGUCACCGCCGACCUGUAACUCUCCGGAAGCCCAUGGCUGAAAUUUGCGUGUGCCUCCAGCUUAUAAUUUGUGAACAAGAAGAACUUGAAGAAGAAGCUGGAGAUUAACGAACGCCGAAAUUGAACCAUCCCACCUGGUGCGUUAUCAGCCAUGUGAAUUUCCUGUUCAAGGAGACCAAGGGCCUGGUCUAGAGUCUCACGGCUCCAUGGCUUUCCUCUCAGGAACUCCUGCGUCCUCUUCGCAACUGCAACCAUAGCGGCCACUCCACCAUACGCCAGACACGAGUCUUGAACAAUCCAAGCUCCAUCAGACUCGGCAAGGCUGACACGAAUUCCUGCAUUGACAAGAGCGAUAUCGUCGUCCCGGCGAUGUGCUUGCUUAAAUUCUUUCACAUAUUCAAAUGGCCGUGUGAAUGGCAUAAAAACACUGAUGAGGAUUUCAUUUUCUUUCAAAUCGACUUUGCGGUAACCAAGGAAGAAAUCCUUAGCAGGAACUUGUCGUGGAGAAGCACCGUAUCCAGCUACAGUGAAGAUUGUCCCAGUAGCGAUCCAUAAGGGGUUCAAAUCCGAAAUUGGACUAGCAGUGACGAUGUUCCCGCCUAUGGAAGAGACGUUCCUAAUUUGAGCACCAGCAAACCACCGGAGCUGCUCGAUGAUAGCCUUGCAACCCGAUGUCUCGUCCUCAUUCCGCGUUUUCACAAUCUCGGAGAAAGUCUCGAAGAUGUUGGUAAGCGUCACAGAUGAGCCAAUCUCCACGCCACUAUCAAUAACCUUAAUAGUGGAAAGUUCCGGCACAUGUGUAGUCGCAAUCAGAACAGGAUACUGUAGAUUUUUGAACCGAACCUCAAUGCCAACCUCCGUGUUGCCACCGACCAUCUUGGCACUGGGAUACUCCUUUUUCAAGGCUAGCAAAUGCGACAACGAAGUUGGACGAUACCAUUUCAAGCCCAGUCUACCACGUAGAACAAGGGGUUGAGGUUUUCUUUCCUUCAGCUUCGACGGAAAGAUUGGCUCCGCUCGUGGCACUUCAACGUUAUCCUUCACACCUGUGUUGUUCUCCAAAACCGUUCCGUUGCUCUCUCUUUCUUGCUUCUCCUCCGUCAACGAUUUAUGGUCGGUGGCGGCACCGUUUCCUAAUUCACCCUUGGAAGGCGUUUUCCCACAAUCACAAGGCUUCCCUGUGGAUGGGCAAACAAACUCACUGCCGGUACUCUUGUUUGUGGGUACACCGCCAGCAGCUGCAAUCGCCUCGUUCGUGUACAGGGAAGUCUCUGAUUUGGCAAAGACACGAAAGGCGUCGAGAAUAGGACGGUAACCGGUGCAUCUGCAGAGAUUUCCUGCCAAACACUCCUCGAUCUCGGCUUGCGUUGGCUUGUCCUUCUUCGUUCGGAGAAGAGAGUACAUAGACAUGACAAAUCCGGGCGUGCAGAAACCGCACUGGGAGCCGUGUGCACUUGCAAGGGCUUCCUGCACUGGAUGCAAUCCCAACCGACGGUUUCCGAUGCCUUCCACAGUGAUCACAUGCAUCCCUUCCACGGAAUAGAUGGGCGCCAAACAUGCAUUGAUUGCGCGAUUCCUAUGAUACAUCACAGGUACAUCAGUCGUGUUUCAGGAUAAAGUUUUCAAAACAUGGAGCUGAACGGACAUGACAAGAAAUUCCGAAGACGAUGGCAUGAAUCAAUGUAACUGCAGCGACCACACUGACAGCCUCGGGAAUUGGAUUACACCAAGAUGUUAGAGCUGUGAUUCGUAUGGUUAAGGAGCCUUACACAAUGGAUCCAGUGCUGGUAUCGUAAUGCGACAGCAUUACAGUGCAUGCACCACACCCACCCUCGCCGCAACCAAGCUUGGUUCCCGUGAGACCAAUUCCUGGGCAAAAACCCAUACAACUGUAAGAAACUAAUUCAUCCUCAAAAUUAAACGCAGCGGCAAUUCGUCUAUCACGGACGGUUAGAAGCUACACUACAAUUUUCCUCGGUUCAUCGAAUAAGAGCACAUUAAUGUUGACUAAUUUCGGUUUCAGACAAUUGAAGGUCGAAUUUUAGGUCCCCAAAUGGACAAGCCACAAUUUCAAACAGGAACCAAAGGGGAGCAUCAAUUCACGGAAGAGGAGACAAGACAAGUACCUCGAAGGUAUUCGAGAAGAGUUUGGUGGGCGAUAUUCGGCGGCAAAACAUAACGCUUUCCAUUAACAUACAAAAGGAUGUCCUCCUCUUUAGCAUAUUCUACGGGAGCCACAGCAACUCCAAGGCUGGGUGCGUCUAGAGACCCCAUCCUCGCUCAACACACUUACAAUUACAUCCACGCCACGCACUUCCUAAAUCCCUCUGCUGAUCGCAGCUUCUGUCUGUCUCCAAAUCAGGCCCUCGUCAGCUCCAGAACCUCAAUUCAGCCCCGAAUUCACAAUCCCAAAUCCUAAUCACCGCCAAUACAACUUCCACUGCGACGCACGAGUCCACUCCUUAAUCUCCUAAAAACUCCCACCCUGCCAAACCCUCAAAAUUCAACGACCCAAUCUCCACGUCCCAGCACCAAACUAACGAUCAACAACACACAGCACAAAACAACAACAACAACAACAACAACAAAUAAACGGCCCCACUUGUACUCACUCGAGCCACGAAAAUCUACGCCCACGAGGUAUGCACAAUUUCUCCGUCUCUCGCGUUGCCUAAGAUAUACCACAAGGCCGAGUGCUAUGAGCGAGUAGUGAUCCGCUCGAUGCAGCACCUAGAAUAGAAUCCCGGGAACAACCGCAGACGAGCGAAUUGAGGCGGUCAGUAGGAGAUGAUUUCCGAACCCAGCUUCUUCUUCGUCUUCCCCGAUCCGAUGCCCUCUCAAUAUUCCCUUCGGAUGAUCGAUCGCCCACAGUUGAGCGUGGGGUCGCCCCUGACAACACUACCCCACUGUGUACUAACGUUACUGUCCUCUAUCCCACUGCGAAUCCUGGUCAUGCAGAUGCUAAAAUUCAAUCCUAUCUCUGCUUCACGCUCAUCCGCUUCGCUUUCCUCGGCUCGGCUUGCCCUGUCGAAGCAGUCUUCCGGAUCGUAUCAAUCGCCUGGCACGAUGAAUUCGCCGCUUCGUUCCCAUCGCGGCACCACGUGCCGCGGCAAAUCCAAACGUGCCUCGCGUUCAGUGCCUGGCGCGGCCCAACGUUGAUGAAUGAAACCUUGAGGAUGAAAAACUGAUUUUUUUCCCGUUCGUCCGAUGUUCUAUGCGUUCGAAAGCCACCUCGGCGGGAAGCGGAUGACGUGGCGUUUAGUAUUUGGAAUCGGCAUACGUGGCUUGCCAUUUUGUGUUGGCUUUUCAUUGCGUUUUGUUGAAGUUGUAAAUUUAAAAAAGAAUAAUUAAUAACCCUGUAAAAAGGUAUGAUUGUCAAUAAACAAACGAUUAAUUAUUACAAAUGUCAUUAAAUAUAGGGGAGGAUGAGUGGGUUGAUUUAGUAAAAACUUGGGUCUAUUUAACAUUCCCCUAAAUAAAUAAAUAAAUAAAUAUAUAUAUAUAUAUAUAUAUAUAUAUUAAUUUGCCAAACAUAAUAUUAUUUUUAAAAAAUGGUGUUUGUUUUAUUUAUAUGUAAUUAAAGUAAUAAUAAACAUAUUGUAUAUCGAGCAUUGUAUACUAAUGUAUGGGAUUUAUUUUGGAGAAAUUUUUACUUGUAUAUUGAUUAAACAUAUUUAUUUGUGUAUUAAAUUUUUUUUAAUACAAAAACCUGUAAAAUAUAUACGUUGUAUGUUUUUAGUAUUUCAUGAACUAGAGUUCAAUCUUGCAUGUAAUGUAACAAUCAUACUGAAUCUUUAUGCACAUUAUUCAAUUUGAAUUCAUUGUAAUGUCAGUUGGAAUUCAUUCAACUCUUAUAUAAAAUGAAUAACAAUAUCAACUAUCUAUAAAUGAAAACCAUCAAAUAUUUAUUUUUAUAUUUAUUAAAAAAUACAAAAAAUCGUGUAAAAUAUUAAUAGACUUAUUCAAUAGAUUCUUUCAUAUUUGUAUAUACUUAACCUUCUAAGUGUAAAUUCAGUUAAAAGAAAAUAAAAUAUAAAACCUAAAGAAUAUUAUUUACAAGAAGUUCAUUGUAUGAAUCAAUGAUGAUAAGAGAAAAGAAAUAUUAAUAUUAUAAUUGAUUUUUGAAGCGUUAAGCUUUAUUAGUUCUAAUUUUUUUUUAACCAUAUAUUACUAUGGAAAGUUAAAUAGCUUUUGGAGGAAAAAUAUUAUGCAUAUCGAACACAGAAAUAUGAGUUUACACAAUAACAUGCAAGAAGGAAUAUAUGUCCAUGUAUACCGGGUACAAUAUAACUAGAUGCUAUGAUAUUUCUAAUUUAUGUAAGUCCUACAUCAGUUAAAAAAUUUACUAGUUGAUUUGUUAGUCCUUUUUUCUUUCUAUUUGGUAUAACUUUAUUACUUUGUUUCAGCUUCAGAGUAAAUAUUUAAAAUUAUUGUAUAUAUAUUUUAAUUUCUUUUAAAAAGAAAUCACUAUUUUAGAAUACACAAUCACUAUAAUUAUGAGUCCAAUGAAAUCAAGAGUUUCAGUCACAGAAUUGUUUAUGUUCUUUUUGGCUUGAUAUAUAUAUACAUAUAUAUAUCAAGUAGAAUUUAAAUUCGUAGUUUUAUAUUUUUUGUAAUAAAAUAAUGAUACAUAUAUAUAUAUAUAUAUAUAUAUACAUUUUUAACCACCCUAAAACUUAUGAAACUAUAUCUUAUACAAUGGUUAUUUAUAUCAAAUAAACAAGUAAUCUUUCAAAUUAAAUUAAAGUAAUUAUUAAAAGGCUAAUUUGCUUCUACUCUAAUACAAUAAGUAUAGGAUGGAUUAAAUUAUGAGGUAGAGACAUGUUGAACAUACAACUGUAAAACAUGAUUGUAUUAAUAUAUAAUGUAAUUUAAUAUUUAUUUUUAUAACACAUGAGAAAAACUAUUCAUUUAUGAAGAGGUUAGUAUAAUUCUCACUCUUAAUAUGUUAUAAAUAACUAAUAUACUAAAUAUUCUAUUUUAUUUUUUUGGAAAAGAAAAGACCAUUCUUUUCAGUUGACAACAAUCAAUAUAUUUUUUUAUUUACAAAAUCAAAGAACAAUUUGUUUUAUUGUAACCCUUAAUAUAUGUUGUUUUAUGACAUAAAUAGUACUAUGAUUUGUCAAUCUCAUCACCUUUAUCUAGUUUAACAUAAUUUUUAUCUCUUUAUCCAUUUUCAAGUUUGUAUAACUAUUCAUUAAUCAAAUUUAUACAAUUAAAGAUACUAUUAUUUGAUUUUUGCAAUUUUUUUUAGAAAGAGCAAUAAACAACUCAGUUACACUUAUUUCAUUUGCUCUUGCAGCAGAGAAGAUCUUGCUAGAAAUGUAGAUCAACAUUUGAUGAAUAGCUAGUUGAUAAAUCUGAUAAAUUGUUGAUAAUAUUGAACUCUCAUCCCUUUCUUCAUAUAGAAUAACUAUGAAAAAUAUUUAAUUGUUGUAUUGAUUAUUCACACAAAGCUAUUUAUUUCAAUACAAAAGCAGUAGAGUAACGCUUUUCCUUUAACUGAAGUAAACAUCUUUUUUUUGUGACAAAGAGAAAGAAUACUGUGAAUGCAACCUUAGUGAAAAGAUGAAACAAGGAUGUAAGUAUUGAAGAUCAGCAAGUUCUUACUUAGUUACUACCAUAUAAAGAUUAAUCAUAAUAAAUUGUUAAUAGUCAAAAGACACCAAAGGAUUAAAAGAAGUUACUAUGGCGGCGGCUAGGGUUUUAAGGUGGCGGCUAGGUUAAGAUGAAUCUAGAUCUAGAUCUAGAUUGAAAGGAUGAAGGUGACUUUGGAUGAAGUCUAUGUACUUGGGAUGUAAACUCCACCUAUAAAUAAAGGGUGUUGGAAGUAAGAGAUAUCUUUCUCCAUACUUCUUUUAGAGUACAAUCCUUGCUGAUGCUAAGUGUUUGUAGCUUUUAGACUUCUUUUCUUCAAUAGAUUAUGGGCCCACUCACAUUUGCUUGAGUGUUUUUUGAAGUUCUUUGAAGUGGUUUUGUAAGUGUGGAGUAGAUCAAGUUGUUAUUGUUGAUAUUAGGUUUUAGAAGAACCUAACUUUUAGAUUAAGAUCUAGAUCUAGAUCUUGGUUUGUUCUUACUUGUGCUUAAGAGUAUUUUGGUGUUGGUGUUUUGUUUCUUCACCUAAAGAAAAAGUUUGCAUUGUGCUAUUGCUGAGAUAGAUCCUUGGUGAUCUAACUCUAUAAUUUCAUAUCCUAAAGCUGCUGAUUGUCCUUAAAAGGCGUCUUAUGGUGUAUAGAGGUGAUUUGUGAGCAUUAGAGAGAUAUUAGAGUGGCAAAUCAGAUUUGAGACACUUAGAUAAGUCAUCAAACUUGUGAGAAGUCUUAGAAGUGAAGUUGAGAGUGUUUUUGAGAGUAAAAACACUAAUUUAUUCACAAAGAAGGAUUUUGUGAUUCUAAGGCAGCAAAAUCUUUUUGCUGAUUUUGAUAGCAUUAUGACUUCUUCUUACAAUCCUUUUUGAUACAACUCUUCCUUAGACAUGGCUUCAAGUGAGGGUGAAGGAUUGAGAGUUAUUGAGAAGUUUAGAGGUGAGAAUUUCUACCAUUGGAAGGUAAAAAUGGAGCUUUUGUUGGCAUCUUUGGAUCUUUGGGAUAUUGUAGAUGAAAGUGAAGAGGCUCUAAGAAAAGAUGCUGGUAUGAAGGAGAAGAAGGAGUUCAAACAUCGUGAAAAGAAGGCUUUUGGAUUGAUUGCAACCAAUAUGGAUGAAGCCAACUUCUCCCACAUUAUCUCUUGUAAAGGACCAGCGGAAGCAUAGAAGACUCUUUGCAACAUCUAUGAGAGCAAGAACUUAUCCAACAUCAUCUAUACAAGGAGGAAGUUCUUCACUUGCAAGAUGGAAGAAGGUGAAGACCUUAUGGCUCAUGUCAAUAAGGUAAAGGCUCUUGCAAACCAACUAGCAAUUGUUGACAAGCCUUUAGAAGAAAGUGAUAUUGUCGUGACCUUGCUAAUGAAUCUUCCCAAAUCCUACAACUACCUUAUUAUAGCAUUGGAGUCCAUCAAGCUAAAAGAGCUUACAAUGGACUAUGUGAUGACAAGACUUUUCCAUGAAGUAACCAAUAAGAAAGAAAAUGAGCCCCAAAGUGAAGAUUCAAUACUCUACUCACGUCAACGCAAGGACAACUAUCUAAAUCAGCAAGAUAAUGUCAAAUCUUGCUUCAUUUGUGCCAAAGUAGGCCAUUUUGCUCGAAAUUACUACAAAGGCAAAAAGAUAGAGAAGGAGAAUGCAAAUAGUAUAUAAGAUGAAUUUAGAGAAUAAGAUUAUGCAUUCAUGGCAAGAAAUGGGAUCUCUAUGGUUGCCAUGUUAAGAUGGAUUGUGGAUUCAGGUUAUUCCAAGCAUAUGACAUCUUAUAAGUAUUCAUUAGACACUUAUGAGGCUAUUCCAAUAUCAAACAAGGUGUUGGCGGAUAGUAGUACAUGUGAAGCCAUUGGAAUUGGCUCUAUUAUGGUGGAGGUGGUUGUGAAUGGACAAACCAAUAGGAUCAAAUUCAAAAACGUCCUUCAUGUGCCUAAAAUGAAGCAAAACCUACUUUCACUGAGUAAACUUGUAAUGGAAGGUUUUAAAGUUCAAUUUGACAUGAAUGGAUGUUUUGUAAGAAUAUUGAACGGAGACAAGGUCUUUAAAGGCUUGAAAUAGGAAAAUUUGUACUACCUCAUUUAUAAGAAGGUGAAUGGAGUAGAGGUAGCCGCAUUUGCUUAGUUUACAUCAAACUAAGACAAGUUGAAUAUAUGGCAUUGUCACCUUGGCCAUUUGAAUGUGAAGAGUAUGAGAGAGCUCAAGACUAUAGUAAGUGGCUUAGAUCUUUGCAAUAGAAGCCAAAAUGUAAAAUAACUUGCAUGUGAACGAUGGAUACAAGGCAAACAACAAAGGGCCUCAUUUCCAAGGAGUGUAGCAACACGUGCUACCAAGUUGCUAGAGAUUAUCCAUUCGGAUGUAUGUGGACCUAUGAAGAACAUAAGUAUUGGAGGAUCAAGGUAAUUUUUCACUUUCAUUGAUGAUUAUUCAAGAAAGAUUUGAAUCUACAUUUUUAAAGCCAAGAGUAAAUACUUUUGGAGGUUUGAGGAGUUUAAAGUACUUGUUGAGAAACAAAAUGAAUGCAAGAUCAAGGUACUUCGUACGGAUAAUGGAGGUGAGUGCAUGUCUAAGUAAUUUGAUGUUUAUUUGAAGAAUGAAGGAAUUGCUAGAAAAACCACAACUCCAUAUACUCCACAACAAAAUGGUCUUGCUGAAAGGACAAAUCAAACCAUUGUAGAGGUGGCAAGGAGUAUGCUUCAUGCUCAAAACCUUGGCUAUGAGUUUUGGGUAGAAGUUGUGGUGAAUGCAAUGUAUACAAAAUAUAGGUGUCCAACAAGUGAUCUUGCAUCAAUGACACCACAAGAAGCUUGAAGUGGGAGACAACCUUGCAUUUUUCAUAUGAGAACCUUUGAUUGCAUUGCAUAUGCAAAAACACCAGAUUGUAUGAGGUCCAAACUUGAUGCAAAAGGUAUAAAGUCUGUGUUUCUUGGUUAUUGUGAAGGUACUAAGACAUAUAGGCUAAUGUGCUUGAAAACUAAGAAAAUCAUCAAAAGUCGUGAUGUUGAAUUUUUGGAGCACAAGAACGCUUGUGAGCACUUGGAGAUGUGUCCAAAUGAGAGUAAUGGUGUGUUUGUGGAUACAUCUUUGAAUUCAGUAGAGAAACAAAAAGAUGAAGAUAAUGAAGAUAAAAAGCCAAAGAAGGUUGAAAAGAUGAAGGCUCUUAUAAUUGAUAGGACCAGCAAUGAAAGAAAUGAAGAUAUUGAAGAUUAGGAUGAUGAUAAUGAUGAAGAGUAGCAACCAUUAACUGAGAAAUGACAAGAUUUAAGAAUUGGAAAAGAACAAGAAGUGCAACAAGGUGAAUAUUUUUCUAGAAGUCAAAGGAGAUAUCAUUUGAGAAAAAGAAGGCAACAUGAAGAAUGGUGGAAGAAUCACAUCUUUCUUCAAGUAAGUGAAGAACAUACAAAUCUUGCUCUUCUUGCUGAUCUAUUAACUUUGUAUGAUGCUAUAAAGUAUGAAGAUGCAAUCAAGUGGGAGAAGGCUAUGGAAGAAGAAUAUCAAUCUCUUAUGGACAAUGAUAUAUAGGAAUUGACACCUCUUCCAACAAAUCAAUCUAGUGUUGGUUGUAAGUGGGUGUUUAGGACUAAAAGAGAUGCAAUGGAUGUAGUGGUAAGGCACAAUGCAAGAUUAGUUGCCAAAGGAUACUCACAAGUUGUUGGAAUUGAUUUCAAUGAGACUUAUGCACCCAUUACCAAAUUCACCACCAUUAGGACCAUUGUAGCAAUUGAGGCAGCAAUAGAUUUGGAAAUACACCAAAUGGAUGUGAAGAUGGCCUCUUUGAAUGGAGAAUUGCAAGAAGACAUCUACAUGGAUUAACCUCAAGGAUUUGUACAAUAAGACAAAGAACAACUUGUGUGCAAAUUGAAGAAAUCCUUGUAUGGAUUGAAACAAUCACCAAAGGCAUGGUACCAACAAAUUGGCAUCUUCUUUGUCAAUGAAGAAUUUGUGAGGAGUGAGGCUGAUCAUUCACUGUAUGUGAUACAAUCUAGAGAGUUCUUGCUGAUUGCAAUCCUUUAUGUUGAUAAUUUGAUCAUCUUGGCUAAUAAUAUGAAAAAGAUGGAUUUGAUGAAAGCCAAAUUAGAAAAAGAAUAUGCAAUGAGUGAUUUGGAAGACUUGCAAUACUCCUUGGGAGUGGAAUUUGUAAGAGAUCGUGGUAACAAGACCAUUACAAUGAGCCAAACUAAGUACAUUGAAGAAGUGUUGAAAUGAUUCAACAUGGAGGAGUGCAAGCCCAUUUGAACACCCUUGGAGGCAAAUUUGAAGUUGAUGAAGGUCAUGGAUGAGGAGUUUACACAAGUUGAAGGUGAGAUACAAAGUUAUCCAAACAAGGUAGUAGUAGGCUCAUUCAUAUAUGCAAUGGUAGCCACAAGAGUGGAUCUUGCAUAUGCGGUGAGUGUUGUAAGCCAACACAUGUCUAAGGCUGGACCAAUGCAUUGGACAAUAGUAAAGAGGAUGUUGAGGUACUUAAAAGGUACAAAAGACUUCAAAUUGUGCCUUGGUGGUAAGAACAUUGAUUUGCAAGGCUAUUAUAAUGCGGAUUGGGCUGGAGAUGCAAAUGAUAGAAGAUCCACAAUGGGAUAUGUCUUCUUUAUUGGAGUAGGAGCCAUUUCAUGGAAUUGUAAGAGACAACCUACCAUUGCAAGAUCAAUGAUGGAGGUAGAGUACAUGACAGUAAGUCAUUGUGCAAUGGAGGCAUGUUGGAUAAGGCAACUCUUAGAAGACAUUGGACUAGUGCAAUUAGAAAUAACUCUAAUUAAGUAUGACAAUCAAUGAUGUCUUGUAUUUGUUAAGAAUCCAAAAUACCACUCAAGGACAAAGUACAUUGAUAUUCAACAUCAUUUCAUAUGAGAAAAUAUUGAAGAUGGAAUAAUAGGUAUGAAGUAUUGUUCUACAAAUGACAUGCUGGCUGAUGUGCUUACAAAGGCAUUAGUGAACGAUAGUGUCAAGGACAAAGACUCGAUGAGGAAAAAUAUACACCAAAAGGCUAUCUCGAUAUAAUAAGUCAAAAUAUAAACAAGUAGGUAUAUUAAAAGGAAACUGGAAUGGCUAUUGCCACAAGACAAGAAACUAAAGACUCUUGAACCUGGACUAGAAGCAAGAAAGGAGUUGACAAGAGUGAAGAAGCCUUCACUCUUGUCUCUAUAUAUACUAUCUAACUAGGGGCUACGUGGCGACGUUCUAUAGGACCUCCAAUAUGUGUUGACUUUGUAGGACACAUGCCUUGACUUACAAGGCAAGUUUUUCUACGUGUGGGCCACAUAGUUAGCUUGAUCUUCAAGCUAACAACAUGUGUGGUACAUGGCCAACUUGUUGACCACGUUUCUAAUCCAAAAAGUCAAUUAAAGACACCUAUGAAGUCAAAGCAGCGUCUAGGAAGUUUCUAGGAAGCUUUUAUAUUAAAUAUUAUAUAAUUAACUUACUUUUAUUUACUUUUACUUACUUCUACCUAUUUCUAUAUGUAAUUAUUAGCUUACAUGAUUAUGGCCGUGACAUUACCCCCCCUUCUAGAGACGAGUUCCACGACGAGCGGUCAUCAUAUGUUGAAGAAAUCUAUGAUGCCACGAAUUAUAUUCGCCACAUACUCUGAUCUCUGUUCUCUUCGAAGAUGAUUGAUAGGGCCUCUCAACCAUCGGUAGUGUCCCAUAUCAGGGCGGGAAGACCACCCAGUUAUUUGAUCAUUAUUGAGGCCUUCAUAACUUCCUUCGAAUAGAAUAUUUGGAACACGAUCAGGAGUUGUUCCUACCUCUAGCAAAAUCACCAAACAUCGGGAGUCCCUUCCCAAAUCGUGAUACCAAACGCAUUGUAUCUCACCAUCUGUUCGAGGAAGAACAUGUUGUUCUUGAAGAUCUUCAUCUCGAUUGCGUCGUCUUGAAGGUUGUGACAAUCGUAAUGUCUCGUCCGGCAGGUCAGCAAACGAAGGUUCUUGAGUUGAAUCUGCUGGUUGUUGGCUCUCCAUCUAAUUAGCGUCACAAAUGCAAAGAAGUUACAAACAAGGAUAGGAAAUUGAAUGUUAUCUUGCCUCAAUCUUGUCUCUUUUAUAAGAGAGAUUUUCAUCUUGGUUUUGAUGGAUGUCGUUGAUGAAAAACUUUGACUUUAGUUGAUGCAUUUGCUAGAUUCCUGGAUGGCUCCCAUGUGCGUUCACUAAUAUCAUAUCCGCGCCAAUGAACAAGAUAUUCCAGCUUAUUUCGGCGCCGCCUUGAAUCUAAUAUCUCUUCCACCUCAAAUUCUUCAUUAUUAUCUACUUCUAUAGGAGGCGGUGGCAUUUGUCUUCUUCCUUGUAUAUCCACUGUCUUAUAUGGUUCAAGAAGAGAUACGUGGAAUACAGGAUGGAUCUUCAUUGACUCUGGUAGAUGUAACCGAUAUGCAACUAGGUUGAUCUGUUCAGAAGCAGAAAAGGGGCCAAGCCUACGAUAGUCCAACUUGUCACAAGGUCGAGUAGUCUUGAUAUUGCGACGAAGUAGCCAUACCUUAUCACCGACGUUGAUCUGUGGUUGCUCCUUACGAUAUAGAUCUGCGUUUAUCUUUUAUCGUUCUUGAGCUUCCUUCAAUUGUGUCUUCAUUAUUGCAUGUAACUCUGACAACCGAUUUGCCAUAUCUUCUGCUGCAGGAUUAUCAACUUUUGAAAAAUCAAAAGUAUCAAGUCGUGGAUGAUAGCCAUAAUUGGCAAAGAAAGGUGUUUGUUGCAUGGAAGAAUGUACCGUAUUAUUAUAAGCAAACUCUGCCAAUGGCAGAAGGGUUGUCCAAUCAUCUUGUUGGUAGUUGAUAGUACACCUUAAAUAUUGCUCCAAGACUUGGUUUACGCGCUCUGUUUGUCCAUCAGUUUGAAGAUGAAAAGCCGAAGAUAGUUUUAUGUCCACUUUUAAAAUCUUGAAAAGGGUCCUCCAAAAUCUUGACACAAAUUGAGUUCCCCUAUCCGAUAUGAUAUCUUUAGGUAAUCCAUGAUAGCGAUAGAUAUUAUCAAUGAAAAGCUUAGCUGUUUCUUCACCUGUGAUAGAUUUUGUACAUGGCACAAAAUGUGCCAUCUUGGUGAAACGAUCUACUAUCACAAAUAUAGAAUCAUAAGAUCUUGAGCUUGGAAGAUCUGUGAUGAAAUCCAUAGAAACAGAAGACCAUGGUUGUUCUGGUAUAGGUAAUGGCUGAAGAAGUCCGUAAGGUCGAUGACGAGGAAUUUUUGAUCUUGAACAAAUAUCACAUGAUUGUACAAAGUCUUUGACUGACUUCCACAUUUGUGGCCACCAAAAAUCUCUUGAUAUGAGUUCCAAAGUCUUAUUAUAUCCAAAGUGCCCUGCUGCUGGAAAUUCAUGACGUGCUUGAAGAACACGUAAACGUGCUUCUCCUUCUGGAACAUAUAGGCGUCCUUCAAAAUAUAAUAGAUUAUUCUUGAACUCAAACUUAGAAGGAUCAUGAGACUUGGAAGAAUUAUUCUCGAUAUCAUAAACAAGAGGGUCUGAGGACAUACUGGACUGGAUUUGCUUGAGAAAAGUUGAAUCAACAGUCAAUGUUGAUUUCAUUGCUCGGAGAUGAAAUUGCUCCGGUUUCAAGAGGACCGUUCUUUGUUGCUCAAAAGCUGCAUCUCCUUCUUUUGGUGCAAAAUAAGAACGUCUAGAUAGGGCAUUGGAUAAACCUUGUUGUUUUCCUGGCCGAUAAGUGAUAAUGAACUCGAAUCUUGACAAAGACAUACUCCAACGAGCUUGACGACGAUUCAACACGCGUGCUGAUAAGAAAUACUCGAGGUUCUUGUGAUCUGUAUACACAGUGACUGGAUUAGAAGUGCCUUCUAGAUAAUGACACCAUUCUUGAAAGGAAUCCACGAUCGCAAGAAGUUCUUUAUCGUGGAUCUCAUAAUUGAUCUCGGCUGCUGAGAAUUUUCUUGAAUGAAAAGCUAUCGGAUGGAGUUUGUCAUCUGUUCCCAUUUGUGAUAAAACUGCACCCAAGGCAAAAUCUGAUGCAUCUGUUUCCAUAAAAAAUGCCUUGGAAAAGUCAACAUGAUAUAAGACUGGUGCAGAGACAAACGAUGUCUUUAAGGCUUCAAAUGCUGCUUCCGCUUCUUGAUUCCAUUGAAAUUUAUCUUUACUAGUCAAGCGUGUAAGUGGAGCUGCAACUCGUGAGAAAUCUUUGAUGAAGAUCCGAUAGUAAUUGGCAAAUCCCAAGAAACAUUGAACAUCUCUUACUGUCCUUGGAAUCUUCCAAUCCACGAUUGUUUGGACUUUCUUAGAAUCCAUCAUGAGACCAUCAUUUGAAAUGAUGUAUCCUAAAAAGUCAACUUGAGUAGUGUGAAAUACACACUUUUCCAUCUUGGCGUACAAUCCUGCAUCUCUAAGUUUUUGUAAUACUUGACGAACAUGUAUUUCAUGUUCUUCGACGUUCUUGGAAUAGAUCAGGAUAUCGUCUAGAUAGCAGACGACAAAAUUGUCUAAGAAUUCACGAAAUACAUCAUUCAUGAGAUGUUGAAAAGCAGCUGGUGCAUUCGUGAGUCCAAAGGGCAUGACAUUAUAUUCGAAAUAUCCAUACCUGGUUCGAAACGCAGUCUUCCAUUCAUCUCCUUCUUUGAUCCGUACUAGAUUAUAUGCUCCUCUUAGAUCUAUUUUUGUAUAGAUCUUAGCUUGAUUCAACUGGUCAAGGAGUCUUGAUAUCAAAGGUAAUGGAUACCUGUUCUUGAUUGUGAUCUUGUUGAGUCCUCGAUAAUCAACACACAUUCGUAAAGAUCCAUCUUUUUUCUUUACGAAUAGAAUUGGAGCUCCUGCUGGAGAUUUUGAAUGGCGUAUGAAAUUCUUCGCUAAAUUCUCGUCAAUAUAUGUCUUGAGUUCAGCCAUCUCAUCUUGCGAUAAACUGUAAAUUGGUCCAAAUGGUGGCUGAGUUCCUUCCUUGAGGUCGAUUGAACAAUCAUAUGGACGAUGCUCAAGAAGAAUAUCUGCAUUCUUUUUCUCAAAAACGUCUUGAUACUCCUGAUAUUGACUUGGAAUGCCACUUGAAGUCUUUACGUUUUCAGAAAUAGAUGCAACAUAAAUAGCAAAAGUUGAUCCUUCUUUUGCUGCGUGUAUAAAUGCUUUUGCACCUAUCAGUACGGGUUUUACUGUACUAGACUUAUAAUUUUUUACUUGGUUCGUAGAACUAUUAAUAACGCUUUUGGAAAAGUCAAGUUUACGCGAAUUCCAAUCUAUUCGAGGGUUAUAUUUUUCUAGCCAGGAUAAACCUAAAAUAACUGGAUUGGACGGGGAUUUAAUUAUGUUAAAAGCUAUGUAGCUAUCAUGACCGUCUACUGUUACUUUUAUAGGAUGAGUUUCAUGAGUGACAUCUCCAGAAGACAAGGGACGACCAUCUAUGACUUCUACAUGUACUGGUUUAGGUUUCUGUACAAAAGGUAUUUUACGACUUUUAACAAAUUGUUCAUCUAAAAAACAUGCUGAGGCUCCCGAAUCUAAUAAAGCAGAGGCUUUGUAAUUCUUAGGUCUUAAAUAUAAGUCUAUUAUAAAACAAGGAGAGGGUUCUGAGGAGAGGAUAGGACCUUCAUUAGGAAUUGUACAAGGUUCCAGUUGCACGGUCCCUAUUGUAGCUGGACGAAUCCGUUUUCCGACAUGUUGUCUUCUUUGACCGUCGUACCCCUCAUUUUAUAGUUGCGUCGUUUCUUUGGACAAUGUUGAGCAGUGUGCUUAGGUUCUCCGCAAUAUAAACAUAAUCCUUCUUGACGACGAUGAAUCUUUUCUUGCUCAGUUAGAGGUUUAAAACGUACCGCGUCAAUUUGCAUGUCUUCUACUUCCGAAUGUACGUUUGGCAAAGAUGUUGAUGUUGCCAUUGAGUAAUAACUUUGAGGUUCCCGUGAAUGAUUCUCAGAUCGAAAUUCAAAAAGUCGAUUAUCACAUUUUACCGCAAAAUCAAUUGCUUGACUCAAAGUUUGAGGAUCAGGUAAGUUGAGCAUCAAUUUCUUUACUUCGUAUUGCAAUCCAUAAAGAAAUUGACUGAUGAGUGCAGCAUCAUCCCACUUGAUGUCAAUUACAAGUUGUCGAAAUUGUAAAGCAUAUACUGUUACUGAGCGAUUUCCUUGUCGCAGAAUUCGGAUCUUAUUUGUUGCAACACGAGUUGCAUCGUGUUCACCAUACAUAGAUCGAAACUCCGCCAAAAAAGCUUCCAAAUUGUCCAAUAUUGGAUUUCGUUGUUCAAGAAAAGAUGAAAACCACGAUAAUGCAGAACCAGAAAGUAGAGUGCCAAUAAACCUGACUUGUGAUCCUGGAGUUGGAUAGCUUUGCGGUUGAAGUUCAAUUGCCAAUUGUACUUGAUUGAUGAACCCUCGAAACUUUGAUCUCGUACCAUCAAAUUUCUCGGGUAAGGCAAUUUUUGGUUCUCUAGUGCUUACAGGGUGUUGUACAAUUGGAGAAGGAACGUGAUUUGUUGUAGAUGUUGAAGCAGCUCCGAUCAUCUCUAUAUCUCCACUUUCUUCUAUUCUUGUUCUUUCCUGUGUUGGUGAAUUGAGUUGAUGCAUCGCAAGCAUUAACUCCCUCAUUUGUUCUUGCAUUUGUGCCAUUGCACUCUUCAUUUCAACAAGCUCUGCCAUAAUGACACUAAGAAGAAAAAUUUGUUUGAUAUUGCUCAAGACAAAAGAAAAGAAAGACUUGAUAACAAAGAAGAUACUAAGAACAAUAUCACUUUAGAAGUGGGUAAUCCGCAAACUUCUAAUACGCUUAUGUCUUGUCAAGAGAAAGGGGUAAUCCACUCUUACUCAAGAAAAAACAAAGCUCUGAUAUUGUAAGUGUACUCUUGUCAAUCUGUCAAGGACAAAGACUCGAUGAGGAAAAAUAUACACCAAAAGGCUAUCUCGAUAUAAUAAGUCAAAAUAUAAACAAGUAGGUAUAUUAAAAGGAAACUGGAAUGGCUAUUGCCACAAGACAAGAAACUAAAGACUCUUGAACCUGGACUAGAAGCAAGAAAGGAGUUGACAAGAGUGAAGAAGCCUUCACUCUUGUCUCUAUAUAUACUAUCUAACUAGGGGCUACGUGGUGACGUUCUAUAGGACCUCCAAUAUGUGUUGACUUUGUAGGACACAUGCCUUGACUUACAAGGCAAGUUUUUCUACGUGUGGCCCACAUAGUUAGCUUGAUCUUCAAGCUAACAACAUGUGUGGCACAUGGCCAACUUGUUGACCACGUUUCUAAUCCAAAAAGUCAAUUAAAGACACCUAUGAAGUCAAAGCAGCGUCUAGGAAGUUUCUAGGAAGCUUCUAUAUUAAAUAUUAUAUAAUUAACUUACUUUUAUUUACUUUUACUUACUUCUACCUAUUUCUAUAUGUAAUUAUUAGCUUACAUGAUUAUGGCCGUGACAGAUAGACAUCAUAACUUGAUUCUGAGAUUAGGAUUAAAAGCCUUUUGAAAAUUAGCAAAGUGAGAGUGUUGAAGAUCAACAAGUUCUUAUUUAGUUACCACCAUAUAAAGAUUAAGCAUAGAAAGUUUCUAAUAGUCAAAAAGUACCAAAGAAUUAAAAGAAGUUACUAUGGUAGCCGCUAGGAUUUUAAGGUGGCGGCUAAAUUAAAAUGAAUCUAGAUCUAGAUCUAGAUUGAAAGGAUGAAGGUGAUUUUGGAUGAAGUCUAUGUACUUGGGAUGUAAAUUCCACCUAUAAGUAAAAAGUGUUGGAAGUAAGAAAUAUCUUUCUCUACACUUCUCUUAGAGUAUAAUUCUUGUUGAUUCUAAGUGUUUGUAGCUUUUAGACUUUUUUUCUUCAAUAAUAAGAACACAACUCUCGGUUCAAGAAAAAAAAAAUUGCUCUUGAUAAUCCAAACAAGUAGUUAAUCAAAUACAUAUAAACGGCAAUGGCUUAAUCAAGAAAGAAUAAUGAAAUACCAUCCCGAAGCACCAUGGCAGGGUAAUGUGUCAAAGCAGAGCUAAUCUUCUUGGUCUAGGCUGUAGGUUCAUCUCCAAGCCCUCCCAAAUCUUGGCAAGGCUCAAGUGAGCUCUUAGCGCAUCUGGACUGGUCUUUGAUGACUCUCGAUUCUCAUCUACAGACUAAUCCCAGUCGACAACCACAAUUCUCCGCGGCAACAGAUUCCUUCAAGCAUUCCAAUAUAUAGUGGAUUUUCUUGAGCACUCAGCGACAAGCACACGUCUCUCAAGCAGACUACUACUUAAUCUCACUUUAAUCGCCAUUUAAUCACAAGCAAUUUUCUAUCAAUUUGACACUCUUCCAUGGACUCAAAACAUCAACAAACUAAACUUCGACACUACAAAAUUACAACUAUCGCUUCAUAUUGUCCGUUUGAAUGGCACCCACACAAUGUGGCUACCAUAAAAUCUAUUUCACACUACCAGAUAAUGGCCAAAAUGAGGAAGACUCAUAGGCCAAUAAGUUUGUACCAACUAGGCUACUUUACCAACUAGGCUAUCUAAUCAUGUCAAUUGGCCUGUUCAACAUGUUCACACUAGAAUGUGGUUUUUCUUGACUUUUGGUCCGUGUUGGCAUGGAGGUGGCUUAGUUGGCGCAUGUGAUGUAGCAUUCAUAGAUAGAGGCUUUUACUUUUACUUCUAUUUUAUAUUUUUCCUUCUUUUCUUGAGUAUGCAGUUAUAGUUCUAAUUAAACUUUCUAAAUAUAUACAAUUUUAGGAUUUGCAUGCAUAUGAAUAUUGAUUGCAUAUGGUUGUACUUUGAUUCAAAUUCAUAGUUAUGUUUGGGAUAUACUUUGAACAAUGUUAUUUUGAAUGCCUUGUUCCAAUUUAAUGUCCAAGGAUUCACUUUUCACUACAACCUCCUCUUCUUUCACUAGCUCACCUUACAUAUUGGAAUUCAAACUGAUUUAUUUAUUGGUUUAUGUGGGUUUAUUUUUACUUUUUCCUAAAAUAAAAAAAUAGUAUUGUAUGUUUAGAACAGUUAUUCUUUACAGCCUUCUCUCCAAUACUUUCUCAUCCAUUUCAUUAUGUACUUCAGAGUUCUUCUAAGAUGAUGACUAUAAGAUAUUUUAUUAAUAAAAUAUGUAAAUAAAAAUAUAUAAUUUUAUUUAUUGAUAGUAAGUCAUUUUACAAUUACCUUUUAUUACUUCCAAUACCAUUGUUCUUGAGACUUCUUUACAAUAAAAAAAAUCACACUUUAGUUAAUUGAUUCACACUAUAGAAAUAAAUAUGUUUACAUCAUUGUUAGAUGUUUCUCCAGAAAUAAAACUUAAAUAAUAUCAUGGAAAACAUAUGAUUUUUAAGAAAUAAACCAUUGUGUUGUCUCAUUAACUUUUGUUUUAACACGUUUAUAAACUGGACUGUAGUUUACAGCCCUACUAAACCAUUGUGUUGUCUCAUUAACUUUUGUUUUAACACGUUUAUAAACUGGACUGUAGUUUACAGCCCUACUAAACCAUUUGCUGCUCUACCCCUUUUUCUGACCACUGUUCACAAAACACAACACAAAGGAUCAACGGAGAAAACUAGACCCAAAACUAAGAGUGAGAACAAUGUUACAGAUAAACUGAAGUGGAAGGAGCUGCAAAGCUGUGGAAGCAAAGCAAAAGAAGCGGAACAAUUCCUUCUGGAUUGCUUGCUCCCUUUUGUGGGCUCUUUCAGGUGGCUGUGGGUGUUAUAGUACCAAGUGAUUGAAGCAUGUGUUUUCGAAGAGUCCGUUGCAACCCUUGGCCCUCAAAGGGGAUCCGCCUCUCACCAUGUGUCGCUCUAGAUCUGAGCGAAGCGUGUUUUCAUACUCCAAAACCUGGACCCAUUGCAAUCUGCCUCUGACAACAAGAGUUUCGAAUGCUUCCCUUUCACCCUCUCAUCACUGUUCUGGAACCCACUUCACCCCAUGGUGCAGGCUUGUCAUGGUAUCCAUUUGUGUCGGUCCUGUCCGUCUGAUUGAUCCUGUCACCGGUUGCUGUUGUGAGAUUCAUCCCGGAUCUGAUGAGCUCGCGAACUGAUGAUCCAUGCCAUGUCGCCGCGGUUUCUGCUCAGCAGCGACUUAACCUCGGUUGCUCUUUCGUUUCCGGAGAUUGAUUCGGCGAGCAGAUUGCAUUACAUGGUGCGGGUCAAACUUCUCCGAUCUUCUCACUUGAUUUGUUGACAGAACUCUAAUGUGAUGGAGCUGAAUUUUAAUCAGCUGCGAGAGUGCGAUGCACCCUGAUCGACUGUGGCGAGAGUGAGAGGAACGUAAGAAGAAAGUUAUCCUUCGAUCAGUACGGUGAGAUUCAAAAUGCCGAACGAUAUGACGGACUACCGAACGAUGUUUGCGAGCAAGAACAGAAACCACUGUCGAGAGAAAAGGGAGUACUGUGGCUUGUCGUCACAAAGCACGCAGCAAGGUGGCACGGCGGAUAUGUACUCCAUGCGACACAACUCUAGAUGCGUGUGCCUGUGCCCCACGCGGCCCUUGUUCAGCUCGCUAUGGCCUCUGUAUAACCAACCCGACGCCGUGUGGCCCAAGUGGCAUCACCACCGCCUCUUGGCCCUAUCAGGAAACUACAACCCCUUGGAGCGACUGUGGAAAUCUUUCGAGCUUUUGGAAUACAAGCCAGCGACGAAGACGUGGGUAAUAGUCACGAGGAUGCCGGACAAGUUCGUGAGCGCCAUGUUCCAGGUGAAGUCCUUCGACGCGAUCUUCGCUGCGUCGCACCAGAGCCGAAUUUUCAUCAAGAGGGUGGGCGAUGGACACAUCAACGGCGCAGUGUAUGACCUCGACAACGACACCUGGGGCACUCAGUGGAUCGUGCCGAUUGAUGCCAUGGCUUGGUUCCGGGGAAUCUACCCCAUUCAGGAGCUGUGUGUGCCGUGCGAGAAGUAUAUGACCCAGUGUCACACUUGUCUGGCACCGGAGAAGCGAACCGGGAAGAGGAUCUACAUCCCACCAGCCUAGUGUGAGUACGAUCUGAUCGACCGCACCAGAUUAAUCUCAGAAACCAAAACUGGACCUGCACCGAUGACCUCAAACCUUGCGAUUCGUCCCAGUUAUGGAUCUGGAGGAAGCCAAAUCUAACGCUAUAAUCCACAUGAUUUGGAACAAUGAUAAGACUUUGGGCACGUUUUCUUCUAUAUUUAGCAGCAUGGGAAUAGCGGGUCUGAAAGCAAGUCCCCAUUUUGCAGAUGGCGUCGUGUUGAAGAGAACUAGAGACUGCCGUUUUGAAUAGCAAUACGUGUUCGAGGAGUGCAAGUUUGUGGGGAAAUACUAAACUUGCAGAUAGGGACCUUCUUGUUUGAGACCAUCUCAAUUCUCCAUUGCCAUGGAUUUCUACAAUUCUGACAAUUGUCACGUGCAAUAGCUGUUAUUAAAGCUAAAAACACAAGAGUACUUGUUGUAUCGGUUACGAUUUAAAUGCCAGUUUUGUUUACGUGGCUUUGUCUAUUAUUUUCUGUGUGUGUGUGUGCAUCUGCAUAUAUGUAUAUUUAGAUUAAAGUUUUAGGUGUUUCAGUAUAUUAAUGUUAUUUUUACUUUUUCUUCCCUUCACUGUCCCGAAUGUACAGUAAUCAUAAUUUUGGCUCUUCAUUUUUUUAAUAUGUUUUUUUAAUAUUUCAAAAUUUAAAUACUUUGGUGUAAAAUGAUAGUACUUUUAAUAAAAUUCUUUUUUCUUUUGGUGUAUUUAUGAUU
rnacentral:lncRNA from 1 species